CCUACGGGUGGCUGCAGUGAGGAAUAUUGGUCAAUGGGCGCGAGCCUGAACCAGCCAAGUAGCGUGAAGGAUGACUGCCCUACGGGUUGUAAACUUCUUUUAUAGGGGAAUAAAGGUAUCCACGUGUGGAUAUUUGUAUGUACCCUAUGAAUAAGCAUCGGCUAACUCCGUGCCAGCAGCCGCGGUAAUACGGAGGAUGCGAGCGUUAUCCGGAUUUAUUGGGUUUAAAGGGUGCGUAGGUUGUUGUUUAAGUCAGCUGUGAAAGUUUGUGGCUCAACCAUAAAAUUGCCGUUGAAACUGGGAGACUUGAGUGUGUUUGAGGUAGGCAGAAUGCGUGGUGUAGCGGUGAAAUGCAUAGAUAUCACGCAGAACUCCGAUUGCGAAGGCAGCUUACUAAGCCAUAACUGACACUGAAGCACGAAAGCGUGGGGAGCAAACAGGAUUAGAUACCCCUGUAGUC
rnacentral:rRNA from 1 species